AAUCUUCCGCAAUGGGCGAAAGCCUGACGGAGCAACGCCGCGUGAGUGAAGAAGGGUUUCGGCUCGUAAAGCUCUGUUGUCGGGGACGAAUGUGCGGGAUGCGAAUAGCUUCUCGCAACUCCGGUACCCGUCGAGGAAGCCACGGCUAACUACGUGCCAGCAGCCGCGGUAAUACGUAGGUGGCGAGCGUUGUCCGGAAUUAUUGGGCGUAAAGGGAGCGCAGGCGGGAAGGCAAGUCAGUCUUAAAAGUGCGGGGCUCAACCCCGUGAUGGGAUUGAAACUGUCCUUCUUGAGUGCAGGAGAGGAAAGCGGAAUUCCUAGUGUAGCGGUGAAAUGCGUAGAUAUUAGGAGGAACACCAGUGGCGAAGGCGGCUUUCUGGACUGUAACUGACGCUGAGGCUCGAAAGCGUGGGGAGCGAAC
rnacentral:rRNA from 1 species